GCAGGCGCGCAAAUUACCCAAUCCCGACACGGGGAGGUAGUGACAAUAAAUACUGAUACAGGGCUCUUUUGGGUCUUGUAAUUGGAAUGAGUACAAUUUAAAUCCCUUAACGAGGAACAAUUGGAGGGCAAGUCUGGUGCCAGCAGCCGCGGUAAUUCCAGCUCCAAUAGCGUACAUUAAAGUUGUUGUGGUUAAAAAGCUCGUAGUUGAACCUUGGGCCUGGCUGGCCGGUCCGCCUCACCGCGUGUACUGGUCCGGCCGGGCCUUUCCCUCUGUGGAACCCCAUGCCCUUCACUGGGUGUGGCGGGGAAACAGGACUUUUACUUUGAAAAAAUUAGAGUGCUCCAGGCAGGCCUAUGCUCGAAUACAUUAGCAUGGAAUAAUAGAAUAGGACGUGUGGUUCUAUUUUGUUGGUUUCUAGGACCGCCGUAAUGAUUAAUAGGGACAGUCGGGGGCAUCAGUAUUCAAUUGUCAGAGGUGAAAUUCUUGGAUUUAUUGAAGACUAACUACUGCGAAAGCAUUUGCCAAGGAUGUUUUCAUUAAUCAGGAACGAAAGUUGGGGGAUCGAAGACGAUCAGAUACCGUCGUAGUCUUAACCAUAAACUAUGCCGACUAGGGAUCGGACGAUGUUAUUUUUUGACUCGUUCGGCACCUUACGAGAAAUCAAAGUGCUUGGGCUCCAGGGGG
rnacentral:rRNA from 1 species